CCUACGGGUGGCAGCAGUGAGGAAUAUUGGUCAAUGGACGAGAGUCUGAACCAGCCAAGUCGCGUGAAGGAAGAAGGAUCUAUGGUUUGUAAACUUCUUUUAUAGGGGAAUAAAGGUAUCCACGUGUGGAUAUUUGCAUGUACCCUAUGAAUCACCAUCGGUUAAUGCCGUGCAAGCAGCCGCGUUAAUACGGAGGAUGCGAGCGUUAUCCGGAUUUAUUGGGUUUAAUGGGUGCGUAGGUUGUUUUUUAAGUCAGAGGUGAAAGUUUGUGGCUCAACCAUAAAAUUGCCGUUGAAACUGGAAGACUUGAGUGUGUUUGAGGUAGGCGGAAUGCGUGGUGUAGCGGUGAAAUGCAUAGAUAUCACGCAGAACUCCGAUUGCGAAGGCAGCUUACUAAGCCAUAACUGACACUGAAGCACGAAAGCGUGGGGAUCAAACAGGAUUAGAUACCCGGGUAGUC
rnacentral:rRNA from 1 species